GCGGACGGGUGAGUAAUGUCUCGGAAACUGCCUGAUGGAGGGGGAUAACUACUGGAAACGGUAGCUAAUACCGCAUAACGUCGCAAGACAAAGAGGGGGACCUUCGGGCCUCUUGCCAUCAGAUGUGCCCAGAUGGGAUUAGCUAGUAGGUGGGGUAACGGCUCACCUAGGCGACGAUCCCUAGCUGGUCUGAGAGGAUGAUCAGCACACUGGGACUGAGACACGGCCAGACUCCUACGGGAGGCAGCAGUGGGGAAUAUUGGACAAUGGGCGCAAGCCUGAUCCAGCCAUGCCGCGUGGGUGAAGAAGGCCUUCGGGUUGUAAAGCCCUUUUGUCCGGGAAGAAAUCGUCUGGGCUAAUACCCCGGGCGGAUGACGGUACCGGAAGAAUAAGCACCGGUAACUUCGUGCCAGCAGCCGCGGUAAUACGAAGGGUGCCAAGCGUUACUCGGAAUUAUUGGGCGUCAAAGCGGUGCGUACGCGGUCGGGUAAAAGGUUCCCCGGAAUUGGUUGGAACAAGGCCCCCUAGGGGGGUCAACACCUGGGGCAAAACCUGGGCCUUUGGGAAAAAACUUCGGGCGCGGGCUACGGGACAAUGCGC
rnacentral:rRNA from 1 species